CUAAUUUAUUUUUAAAGGGCCAAUCCUUUGAGGGUAGGAACCCAUAUCUUCUCUGACUUUGCCACUGUCCCAGGGGUAGACGGAUCAUGCUGGUGAAGGAGAGGAAUGAGACUCAUGGUCACCCAGGCCACUGAGUACUCUGCCAGGCGGCAGAAUCCCUUGUCUCACUUUCUCUUUAAACUAGAUAGUCUCAAUAAAUUGAUUACAGCCAGCACGAGAACCUUUCUCUGUCUUGAAAAUUCCUACAAGGCCUUCUUAACAGGUUCUUUGAACCCUUCUCUGACUUGUUUUCCUGAGCUCUGGGCUCCCUAGGCUGAGGUAAGUACUCCCACCUCUGUGUUCCCAUGGUGAUGGUCCUUUUAACAAGUGACACUAUUUGAAAAUCGCUUUUCCGUGAGCCCUCCCUGAGCUCCUUGUAUCGAGCUCAGACGCCCACAGAAUGCUUUUCCAAGAUUUAUCUGGCGGGAUCAAUGCCCGGAGGCCAGUGUUGGAAAGCUGCUUUUGAUGCCGAGGCCACGCAGUGGUGACCUGAGGACGCGUGGCUGCGCUCGGACCACCACCACGCGAUGCCCUGAUGGCGGACGAGCCAGGAUUUUCCCUCUUUGCCUCUCGGCUUCCAAGGUCAAGGCAAUACCUGAACAGCCACUUCGCUGCAAGAGCAAGACUGCACCGCUUGCUUCCAGCGGCGGGGGGCAGGGGCAUCUUGCAAAGAUCAAAAAAUCUGCAGCGCCUCCUGUAGGAGCAGCUGCCGGCGUCAGCCCUGAACCCGGGCCGGUGAAGAGCAGAGGCGGGAGAAGGUGGGCAGAGAGCUGGGGAAACCGGAUCUCCUGUCAGUAUGAACAGAAGGUUUUCUCUCCCUGGGUUUCUUUUUUCUCUCCCUUAUUCUUUUUUCCCCUCUUCUCUCCAGACAAAAAUUCCCAGCAGUGUUUCGUUGAUUGUGCUGUUGACUCUGCCUCCUAA
rnacentral:lncRNA from 1 species